GCAUAAAUGGUUCACUGGUAGAAUUCUUGCCUGCCACGCAGGAGACACGGGUCUGAUUCCUGGCCAAUGCA
rnacentral:tRNA from 1 species